rnacentral:rRNA from 1 species
CAGUCGCCGCGGUAAUACGAAGGGUGCAAGCGUUACUCGGAAUUACUGGGCGUAAAGCGUGUGUAGGUGGUUGUUUAAGUCUGUCGUGAAAGCCCUGGGCUCAACCUGGGAAUUGCGAUGGAUACUGGGCGACUAGAGUGCGGUAGAGGAUAGUGGAAUUUCCGGUGUAGCAGUGAAAUGCGUAGAGAUCGGAAGGAACAUCUGUGGCGAAGGCGACUAUCUGGGCCAACACUGACACUGAGACACGAAAGCGUGGGGAGCAAACAGGAUUAGAUACCCCGGUAGUCCCUGUCUCUUAUAC